rnacentral:piRNA from 1 species
UGGACUUUGCCAAAAACUGCAGAUGGAUC